rnacentral:rRNA from 1 species
GAUGAACGCUGGCGGCGUGCCUAAUACAUGCAAGUCGAGCGGAGCGGGGACGGGGGAGUGCAACGUGGGUAACCUCCUAUAAGGCUGGGGUAACUUCGUGGAACCGGUACUAAACCGGAAAAUUAUCGAUGGAGCCACGCGGCAUUAGCUAGUUGGUAAGGUAACGGCUUACCAAGGCAACGAUGCCUAGCCGACCUGAGAGGGUGAUCGGCCACACUGGAACUGAGACACGGUCCAGACUCCUACGGGAGGCAGCAGUAGGGAAUAUUCCGCAAUGGGCGAAAGCCUGACGGAGCAAUGCCGCGUGAGUGAUGAAGGCCUUCGGAUCGUAAAACUCUUUCAGUAGGGAAGCGGUACCCAAUCAGAAAGCCACGGCUAACUACGUGCCAGCAGCCGCGGUAAUAC